AAACAAACAACAACAACAACAAAUAAAAAGAACACGCCCCCUCCCCCGCCCCCGCCUCUUAAGUCAUUGUGGUCUGAACCUAUAAACUUCUGAAAAUCUGUGACCUUCAACUCUUACCUCUCUCCCUGUCAUUCUGACUCUCCAGGCAUUCUGACCUUUCCCCUACUUUGUUCUGUUCCUUUCUACCCUAGGCCUUUGCACACAUCACUUUUUUUCUGUCUAAAAAACUUUUAUCUUCUUCCCUACUCCUAGAAAGACCCAGUUAACCCUACUUACUUUAAUUCACAUUUGACACAAUUAUCAUUUUCCUUAGAGAGGCCUUCCCUGAUUUUCCACCUUCAAAUAUCUCCUUAUUUUGUACUCCCACAACUUGCCCUAGGGAACUUACUCUCCUAAUACCAUGGUGAAUAAUGAUAUAUCUAUGUGAUUAUUGUGUAAAGGUUUAUCACUCUCACAGACUGGAGACCUUUAUGAGAGGAGGGUCCUUAUCUACUUGUGAUUAUCCAUGAUUCCCCAGCACCUUGCCUAGUGAGGGCUUGAUAAGUACUUGCUGAAUGAAUGAGCUUAUGAAUCAAGUCAGAAGGUCCGUCUUUGAACCCUGGCUAUGUGACCUUGGAGUGCUCAAUAUACUUACACAUUUAUCUAUAUGGAAACGGAGAACCAAAGACUUGAAAACCCUGGAAAAGGAAGUAGGAUGCUUAGAACCGAGACCAAGAUCUGGGGUCUCUCUCCCCAGGCCCCAACCAGCACCUCAGAGGAGCUGAAGGCUCCUGGGACUGUUUUGGGGAACUGGACAAAAGACAGGCUGAGGAGAAGGAAAUGCACUGCGUUCCCACCGCCUCUUGCCAGCCUUGAUCGACACCAAAGACGCCGGUAAUCUCUCUCUGGCCCGAGGGGAGCAGCAGCGUUUGUGAAACAGAUUUUUACAAAAUGUUUUGACCCUGCUCUCCCCUCCCCCCGCAUCCCUGCCUGGCACCGUGUCACCUAAUUAAAUCAGCCUUCGCAGGCGUCUCCGCUCCCUGCUAAUUGUGCCCUGGGCCGGCUUCCGGAGGCCGCUCUCCCCACCCCCAAACCACCACCCCCUACUUCCGAGGACAGUGGGGCUCCACGGGGGCCGGAGGUCCCCAGGGGACCUCCCGUGGCGAUUUCCGCAGGCCUCCCUCUGACUGUUCUGCAUCCCGGGACACUGAGGCCCAGGCUCUAGCCCUCCGCUGGGCCGGGCUUCUGCCCUAGGACCCGGGUCCAGGUCUGAAAUGACCCGGGGCCUUGGGGAGGCCAGCCCGAGCGUAGCCGAGUAAUUGUCUCCGCCAGAAGAGGAGCCGGAGCAGACGGCUCGGAAAAGCCCGGAUUUCUUUCCCCUUCACCGGCUGCGCGAGGCCGGCCGGAAGCCGGGCGGUUUUAUUUACAGUUCCUCCCGCGAGCGCGCGCCGAGCGCGGGCUGCGAGGGCGCCGGCCGCGUCGCCUCUGUCCAGGGUGCUGAACGGCCGCGGAGCCGGCCGCUCUUCUGCGUCUGCUACGAUAAUGACAAUAGCUAAGACCACUACUGGAGACUCUUACUCACCAUUACCAGGAGCCACCAAGAGUUAAAAGCUUCCAAGCUCUGCAUAAUUUAAUCCUAGCAGCAACCCUGGGAAGAGAGGUUUCCUCACUUUAAAGAUGAGAAAGCUGAGACAGAAGAGUUGGAGUUGGUGAUGGUGAAGGGAGAGUUUCACUUCGUCUCAACUGUCUGAUUUCUUGUUUCUUUCUUUUCUUUUCUUUUCUUUUUUUUUUUUACAACCAAGAAUAUGUUCAUAUAUUACUUGUGCUUUAAAGAUAAGCUUUUAAAAAAAGCCAAUAUCUUUUCUCAAUGACAGAAAAUUUCUGGACAAAUAGCACAGAUUUUUCAAAGGGAAAAGUGAUUCACUCAAACUUUAAAAAGAGGAAGAGAGGCAGGGAAAACAAUCAUAUGCAUUGUCGGAUGACUUUGUUUGCUUCCCUGCUUGAACAAACCUUAUGAGGGGGAAAAAAAAAGAUGAGGAUGAACUGAGAAUUUGAUGUUAUUAGAGAUGAUUGACAAUUUUGUUAGGUGUAAUUAUGAUAUUGUGGUUAUAGAUUUUUUAAAAGUCUGUAGUUGUUAAGUCUUUGUCUUAAAAAGAGACAUUAAAUGACUUACACCAGGUUACUUAAGAGCCUCAUUUUCUCAACUACUCUGAUAGCUCACCACAGGCAGAUACCACAUGUCUAUAACUUCAUAUGUUAUUAGACCUGUCUACAGGCUUUAUUUUACUUUCUAUCAGGGAUUAACUCAAGGCCACUUUGCCACUGAGAUAUAGUCCCAGUUUUUCUUUAUUUUUUAUUUUGAGACAAAGUCUUGCUUAGUUGCUGAGGUUGACCUUGCACUUCCAAUUCUCUGGCCUCAACUUCUCAAAUGGCUGGAAUUACAGGUGUGCACCACUAUGUCUGGCUGUCUACAUGUUUGUGUGGCCAUCACUGCCUGGAUUGGUAUUAGUUCUGGUAUUAUAUCUCUGUGAGAAUGCAGCUGGCAAAUUUUAAGUGCCUACUAUAUGACAGACUUUAUUUAAUGAUAUCUUACAACAUUUUAAACCCAGCAAUCCUGAGAGGGAGGAAUUACUAUUCCAGUAUUACAAAUGCAGGAAUGGAGACAGAGAAAGUUAAUUUGCCCGUGGUCUUAUAGUUAGUAAAGGAUGGAACUGGAACCCAGGUAUUUCGACUCUACUCCCUAAUGUUCUUGUUAAUUGAUUAAACCACAGUAGCCUUAUUAGUGUGUGUAAGACUUGUGCUUGAGUAUGACUUCAUCUAGUGGGUGGAAGAAAGGAACUGUGUAUGUAGUCACAGCAGGGACCCUCUUCUUGUGAUGCACUGGGUUGAGAGAUACAGGAAAUUGCAGAUCAGUGAGGAAGGUUGAUUUGAAAUGAACCAAUCAAUGGAAAUGAUGAUGUCCACUAAAGAUUUACAUGACCUGAAGAAUUUAUCUGGUGACAAAAUGCAAUUAAAUUUGAUUUUGAAGUUAGAA